UACGUAGGGUGCAAGCGUUGUCCGGAAUUAUUGGGCGUAAAGAGCUCGUAGGCGGUCUGUCGCGUCGGAUGUGAAAACCCAGGGCUCAACCCUGGGCCUGCAUUCGAUACGGGCGGACUAGAGUUCGGUAGGGGAGACUGGAAUUCCUGGUGUAGCGGUGAAAUGCGCAGAUAUCAGGAGGAACACCGGUGGCGAAGGCGGGUCUCUGGGCCGAUACUGACGCUGAGGAGCGAAAGCGUGGGGAGCGAACAGG
rnacentral:rRNA from 1 species